GCAGACACAUUCCAGCCAAUCAGCAGCAGACCCUCCCUCCGAGACCCUCCCACCUCCUGGACAGCAUCCAUUGUGAAGCUGCAUUCUUAGUGAGCUGUCCAGGAGGUGGAAGGGUCUGGGAGGGAGGGUCUGCUGCUGAUUGGCUGGAAUGUGUCUG